UGGGGUUAUCAGUCAUUUGGAAUCUUCAGAUUACUUUUGGGUAUGUUUAAACACCAAGAAGUAAACCACAACCAAUUUCAGGGUCAGUUCCCUGUGUAUGUUCUGUGCUCAAUAGCAGCCUCUCACAGGAAUCAGUCUCUGAAAAAUGAAUUUAGACAUGGUUGUGUAGGAGUUGAAGAGUUUAGACGCCCAGCUGUAGAGGACAGACAGACUCACGUGUAACAGGGCAUUAAGAGUGGUCAGAAACAGGACAGCGUGGAGGGACAUUAUCUGUCUACAUGAUCAGGGGAUCAGCACUGUACGGGCCCAGUCAGCCUGGUUCAGCCCCAGCCCCAUGUUCAGCUCUAGCCCCAGUCCUAACCCCAGUCAGCCUGGUUCAGCCCCAGCCCCAUGUUCAGCUCUAGCCCCAGUCAUAACCCCAGUCUGCCUGGUUCAGCCCCAGUCCCAUUCCUAACCCCAGACAGUCUGGUUCAGCCCCAUGUUCAGCUCUAGCCUCAGUCCUAACCCCAGUCAGCCUGGUUCAGCCCCAGCCCCAUGUUCAGCUCUAGCCUCAGUCCUAACCCCAGUCAGCCUGGUUCAGCCCCAUCCCCAUGUUCAGCUCUAGCCCCAGUCCUAACCCCAGACAGUCUGGUUCAGCUCCACGUUCAGCUCUAGCCCCAGUCCUAACCCCAGACAGUCUGGUUCAGCACCAUGUUCAGCUCUAGCCCCAGUCCUAACCCCAGACAGUCUGGUUCAGCCCUAUGUUCAGCUCUAGCCCCAGUCCUAACCCCAGACAGACGGGGCUAAACUAAAGAAGGGGUGAGCCUGAUGCAGCCUUCCGCAGCCCCAGUCCUAACCCCAGACAGACGGGGCUAAACUAAUGAAGGGGUGAGCCUCAUGCAGCCUUCCGCAGCCCCAGUCCUAACCCCAGACAGACGGGGCUAAACUAAAGAAGGGGUGAGCCUCAUGCAGCCUUCCGCAGCCCCAGUCCUAACCCGAGACAGACGGG
rnacentral:lncRNA from 1 species